rnacentral:rRNA from 1 species
UACGUAGGUGGCAAGCGUUGUCCGGAUUUAUUGGGUUUAAAGGGUGCGUAGGCGGUCUUUUAAGUCAGUGCUGAAAUAUCCCGGCUUAACCGGGAGGGUGGCAUUGAUACUGAAGGACUUGAGUUCAGUCGAGGUAGGCGGAAUUGACGGUGUAGCGGUGAAAUGCUUAGAUAUCGUCAAGAACACCGAUAGUGUACAGCUUACUAGGCUGAAACUGACGCUGAGGCACGAAAGUGUGGGGAUCAAACAGG